rnacentral:rRNA from 1 species
AGAGUUUGAUCAUGGCUCAGGACGAACGCUGGCGGCGUGCUUAACACAUGCAAGUCGAACGAUGAACUCCCAGCUUGCUGGGGGGGAUUAGUGGCGAACGGGUGAGUAACACGUGAGUAACCUGCCCUGGACUCUGGGAUAACCCCGAGAAAUCGGAGCUAAUACCGGAUAGGACCCUGUACCGCAUGGUGUGGGGUGGAAAGUUUUUUCGGUCUGGGAUGGACUCGCGGCCUAUCAGCUUGUUGGUGAGGUAAUGGCUCACCAAGGCGUCGACGGGUAGCCGGCCUGAGAGGGUGACCGGCCACACUGGGACUGAGACACGGCCCAGACUCCUACGGGAGGCAGCAGUGGGGAAUAUUGCACAAUGGGCGCAAGCCUGAUGCAGCAACGCCGCGUGCGGGAUGACGGCCUUCGGGUUGUAAACCGCUUUUAGUAAGGAAGAAGGGGAGCUUGCUCCUUGACGGUACUUGCAGAAAAAGGACCGGCUAACUACGUGCCAGCAGCCGCGGUAAUAC